rnacentral:rRNA from 1 species
AUUGAACGCUGGCGGCAGGCCUAACACAUGCAAGUCGAACGAGUGGCGGACGGGUGAGUCAUGUCUGGGAAACUGCCUGAUGGAGGGGGAUAACUGCUGGAAACGGUAGCUAAUACCGCAUACCAUCGGAUGUGCCCAGAUGGGAUUAGCUAGUAGGUGGGGGAAAGGCUCACCUAGGCUACGCUCCCUAGCUGGUCUGAGAGGAUGACCAGCCACACCGGAACUGAGACACGGUCCAGACUCCGACGGGAGGCAGCAGGGGGGAAUAUUGCACAAUGGGCGCAAGCCUGAUGAAGCCAGGCCGCGGGGAUGAAGAAGGCCUUCGGGUUGUAAAGUACGUUCAGCGAGGAGGCGUUACUCGCAGAAGAAGCACCGGCUAACUCCGUGCCAGCAGCCGCGGUAAUAC